AGAAUCAACGCUGGCGGCGUGCCUAACACAUGCAAGUCAAACGCGAGAGGGACUUCGGUCCUGAGUAGAGUGGCGAACGGGUGAGUAACGCGUGGGUGACCUACCCUCGAGUGGGGGAUAACGUUCCGAAAGGGACGCUAAUACCGCAUGACAUUCCGGGUUUGAAGACCUGGAAAUCAAAGCCGGGGACCGCAAGGCCUGGCGCUAGAGGAGGGGCCCGCGUCUGAUUAGCUAGUUGGCGGGGUAAUGGCCCACCAAGGCGACGAUCAGUAG
rnacentral:rRNA from 1 species